GUGUGUGCGGAAGGAGAGACGGUCCGAGCUCUCCUUGACGUGGAUGGAAGAGGCCCUCUGGCCUGACAGCAUGCACACAGCUGAGGUGGUCCCUAUAUACAAUGGAAUAUU
rnacentral:ncRNA from 1 species